CCUCCCCUCCCCUCUUCUCUCUCUACCCCCUCUACUGUCAUUCAUUUCUCCCCCUUGUAUUAUUUUCCCCUUUCCCCUCACUUCCUCUUGUAUGAAAUUUUGUAUAACCCUGAGGGUCUCCUUCCAUUUCCAUGCAAUUUCCCUUCUCUCUCCCUUUCCCUCCCACCUCUCAUCCCAGUUUAAUGUUAAUCUUGUUCUCAUGCUCUUCGUCCCUACUCUGUUCUUAGUUACACUCCUUAUAUCAAAGAAGACAUUUGGCAUUUGUUUUUUAGGGAUUGGCUAACUUCACUUAGCAUAAUCUGCUCUAAUGCCAUCCAUUUCCCUGCAAAUUCUAUGAUUAAAACACUGUUUUAGAACAUGUUUUUCAGCAUCCUUGUAGUCCAAUUUUGUUGUUGACAUUAACUUUUCCUGUGGUAAGAGAUGCUUUUGGUGCUAGUUUUUCUAUAAUCUCUAGGAGGAUUGUGGGAUAGGAAUUUCCUAAAUGAUUUUUUUUUCUUUCUGCAGAUCUCAUGUGUGAAUAUAAAUCUAGUACAUCAUUAACCUAAGGACCUUACCAAUUGGAAAUUGCAGUUUUCACCUUCAAACUACCAUAUCCUUUUUGAUUAUUCUCUUCCUAAAAAAGUGUAAACAUCUUUCAAGUUAUUUUUGUUGCAGAGCUAAACAAAUGGCUGAUAGUGACUUGAAUAAAAUAUCUAGACAAUGUCCCCACUGUUCAUCUACCCUGCAGAAUAAUGGACUUAGAUUAUGUUCUUGCACAUCAAACUAUUCUCCAGUUUUGGUGGUAGAAAUGUCACAGACAUCAAGCAUUGCCAGUUCAGAAAUCGUAGUUUCAGCAGAGAGAAAAAAAGAAAAAAGUAUCAGCAGAGAACCUUCUGGGAAAGAUUUGG
rnacentral:lncRNA from 1 species